rnacentral:rRNA from 1 species
GACGAACGCUGGCGGCGUGCUUAACACAUGCAAGUCGAACGGAAAGGCCCUGCUUGCAGGGUGCUCGAGUGGCGAACGGGUGAGUAACACGUGGGUGAUCUGCCCCUUACUUUGGGAUAAGCCUGGGAAACUGGGUCUAAUACUGGAUAGGACCAUGCUGUAGGUGGUGUGGUGGAAAGAUUAGUUUCGGUAAGGGAUGAGCUCGCGGCCUAUCAGCUUGUUGGUGGGGUAAUGGCCUACCAAGGCGUCGACGGGUAGCCGGCCUGAGAGGGUGGACGGCCACAUUGGGACUGAGAUACGGCCCAGACUCCUACGGGAGGCAGCAGUGGGGAAUAUUGCACAAUGGGCGCAAGCCUGAUGCGGCGACGUCGCGUGGGGGAUGACGGCCUUCGGGUUGUAAACUCCUUUCAGCCAUGACGAAGCCCUUGUGGUGACGGUAGUGGUAGAAGAAGCACCGGCUAACUACGUG